rnacentral:rRNA from 1 species
CCUACGGGAGGCAGCAGUGGGGAAUAUUGGACAAUGGGCGAAAGCCUGAUCCAGCCAUGCCGCGUGUGUGAAGAAGGUCUUCGGAUUGUAAAGCACUUUAAGUUGGGAGGAAGGGCAUUAACCUAAUACGUUAGUGUUUUGACGUUACCGACAGAAUAAGCACCGGCUAACUUCGUG